GCCUGAACCCAAACUUUUCCAAAGCGAGGAAGAAACCGGCUCUCUGGGUGAGGAGGAAGCUGACAGGCUGGAUGAAGGGAGCGAAGAUGAAAAUCAAGAGUUUUUCGACGCCCCGGAACCGGCCCCGGGCUCAGCCGCCUUCCUCCCCUCGCCCUUUCCCGAGCAACAGACGUGUGAGCAGGAGACUGCGGAUCCGGCAUGUACGGCUCCGGGCCCCAUCCCCAUCCCCGUCUUUCUGGAGCUUCCCAUGGGCCCUACCGCUUCUUACCCUCAGCGUCCUGGGCCGAGAGACAGGAGACCGGGGUUCUUGUGACCCCUAUCUCUGGGCCUCGGUCUCCAUAUCCGUAAAACGGAGACGAGGAGACGAUUGCUGAGAAUGUACUCUGGAAAUUUGAAAGUUCUAUGCCCCCAAAUCACGAUACAACUAUCAUCUAUUCAGCACAGUGCUUGGUACCUGGCGAGCAAUUCCUACAUCCCACCAUGGGCUGGCUGCGUCUCCUCGGGAAGGACUGGGAGGGCGUGGUGGGAUCAGUGGCCCCCGGCUGGCCGAGCCGGCCCUAACCUCCCCGCUUCUCCCUCAGACCUCGACUCGGUGUUCGGCGAACUGCCUCCGCAGUUGAGGGUUAAAGCCGACCCCACCUUCACGCGGCCGCCCGGCCCCAAGAGGAGGGCGAAGGUCAAGCACUUGACCCUGUUCCCCAACGCGGAGCUGUUUAUGGGAGACGAUGACCCCGAUCUGAACGACCACGUCAAGAUACUACACAACAAGGGCCAGGAGGAGAAGCCUCAGAAACACUACCUGCACAUCGGGGGUCUGCCGGCGCAGGUCCUGCCCGUUCCGGCGGCGGGGGGGCCCUUCUCGAAGGAGGAGAGCCACUGCCCGUGAGCGGGGAGCGGCCCCCGGAGACGGCGGGCCGGGACCGGUGGUGUUCCGCCCCAUCCUGCUGCGCUCCGAAGGCAAUAAAACAUGGCUCCCUCUGCCAAGCGUUUGGUGAGGGAUGACAUCGAGUCUCCGAGACGCUUUUUUCUCGGUCGAAGGGGGAAGGGUCCACGGUGGGUCACUGGGAGACAGUCAGGGAUGGAGAGGGGAGAGUCAAGGGGUUGGGAUGGUUUGUGCUGGGUAGACUGUAAGCCCGUCAAUGGGCAGGGAUGCUCUCUAUCUGUUGCCCAUUUGUCCAUUCCAAGCGCUUAGUACAGUG
rnacentral:lncRNA from 1 species